ACUCAGCAGUGAUAAACAUUGACAGUAAGCGACAGCUUGAUUCAGUUAAAGUACAAAAAGCCGGCCAACCCGGUGCCAGCCGCCGCGGCUACACCAUUGGGCUUAAGUUAAUGGCCACAGCGUUAAGAGUGUUUAAAGAACAUAAUAAUUUAGAGCUAAAUUUGACCCAAACUGUAAUACGUACGGCCCACAGAAACACAAAACGAAAGUUACUCUAAUAUUCACUUGAACCCACGACAAUUAAGAAACAAACUGGGAUUAGAUACCCCACUAUGCUUAAUCGUAAAAUAUACUACUUACACCCCUUAAUCGCCAGAGUACUACGAGUAACCAACUUAAAACUCAAAGGACUUGACGGCGUCUCACCUACCUAGAGGAGCCUGUUCUAUAAUCGACAUCCCCCGAUACACCUAACCACUCUUUUGCUAAUCAGUCUGUAUACCUCCGUCGCAAGCUUACCAUAUGAGUGUCAAUUAGUGAGCAUAAUGAUCCCUACAUCAACACGUCAGGUCAAGGUGCAGCCUACAAAGUGGAAAGAAAUGGGCUACAAUUUCUAAUCUAGAACACACGGAUAGUCAUAUGAAAAAUGACAAUGAAGGAGGAUUUAGAAGUAAGGGGCAAAUAGAGUGUCCCCCUUAAUCCAGCAAUGAGACGUGUACACACCGCCCGUCACCCUCUUCGAUUAAAUAAUUUACUGUUUAUAACACUAUAUCCCGCUAAAGAAGAGGCAAGUCGUAACAUGGUAAGUAUACUGGAAAGUGUACUUGGAAUAACAAAAUAUAGCUUAACCAAAGCACUUCGCUUACACCGAAGAGAUACCUGUUCAAACCAGACUAUUUUGAGCCACAGACUCCGCCCGUAAACAUUUAAUUUAUACUUUAACAUAAAACAUUUAAACAACCCAGUAAAGGUGAUUGAAAACUUAAUAAGAGCCAUAUACACAGUACCGCAAGGGAAAAGUGAAAUAGAAAUGAAAUAAACCAAAAGCCAAUAAAAGCAGAGAUUAAUACUCGUACCUUUUGCAUCAUGGUCUAGCUAGUCUCAACAAGCAAACUAUAUUAUUCAGCUUGUACCCCCGAAACCCGGCGAGCUACUUAAAAACAGCUAUUAGAGCCAACCCGUCUCUGUUGCAAAAGAGUGGGAAGAUUUUUAAGUAGAGGUGAUAUGCCUACCGAGCCAGGAGAUAGCUGGUUGCUCAAGAAAAGAACCUCAGUUCUUCCUCAAAUUUUUAAAUAGCACUAAAUAUACAAUUUGAGAGCUAUUCAAAUAUGGUACAGCCUAUUUGACACUGGGUACAACCAAAAACUGAGGGUAAUGUAAUUUCCCACCACCUGAGUCGGCCUAAAAGCAGCCACCUUUCAUAAAUAGCGUUAUAGCUUGACUAAAAAAUUAUUUAAAUACCUACCGCCACACAAAACCCCACCCCGAUAUUAAGCACUAUUAUAACUUAUAACUGUUAUUAUGCUAGAACUAGUAACAAGAAAAUUUUCUCCUGAAUGUAAGUAUACAUCAAACAUGAUUUUUACUGCUAUAAAUGUAGUACCUCCCCUAGAAACCCCUACUAACUUUAUUAUUAAACUUACACAAGAACACUACAGGAAAGAUUAAAACAAAAAGAAGGAACUCGGCAAACCUUAGUCUCGCCUGUUUACCAAAAACAUCGCCUCUUGAUUAAUAUAAGAGGCCUAGCCUGCCCAGUGAUUAUUUCAACGGCCGCGGUAUCCUAACCGUGCGAAGGUAGCACAAUCACUUGUUCUUUAAAUAAGGACUGGUAUGAACGGCAUCACGAAGACUAUACUGUCUCCUUUCUACAAUCAGUGAAACUGAUCUUCCCGUGAAGAAGCGGGAAUUACUUUAUAAGACGAGAAGACCCCAUGAAGCUUCAAAUUAAAUAUCAAUUGCUACCUCAAAACCACCUUAACUUAGCAGACCUGAUUAUUAAUUUUAGGUUGGGGCGACCGCGGAGUAAAACAAAACCUCCACAAUGAAAAGGCCUAACCCCCUAAUACAAGAACAACAACUCUAACAAUCAAAACAUUGACAUAACUUGACCCAAAUCUUUGAUCAAUGAACCAAGUUACUCUGGGGAUAACAGCGCAAUCCAUUUCAAGAGCCCCUAUCGACAAAUGGGUUUACGACCUCGAUGUUGGAUCAGGGUGUCCCAGUGGUGCAGCCGCUACUAAAGGUUCGUUGUCAACGAUAAAACCA
rnacentral:misc_RNA from 1 species